rnacentral:lncRNA from 1 species
CCCCAAUCAGACCCUGCUCGUGCCCCCCCACAGGGAGAAAGAGCAGAGGUAAGAGCGACCCCCCCGCUGUGACCCCAUGGCUCCCAAAGCCCCAUUUUAUCACGGUUUGGGGCUAUUUCACGCGAUUUGGGGCCAUUUCAUGCGAUUUGGGGCCGGGGAGGGCAGCCGCAGAGCCCCCCCCGAAGUAGAGGAGCUGUGGGGUGCCCGGGAUGAGCCCACCCAAGGUUGAACAUCCCCGGCUGCACCUCGGGUGGGGGGAGAGACGCCAGGAGGGCACCCCAUUAUUUUGGGACGAGCCGAAAAAUUCCUUCGGAGCUCGGAUUUGUAAGGAGCGCUCCUUCGAGCUCUUUUUUUUGGUGUCAAAUCUUGCGGGAUUUGCUUCUUUUUUACGGAGGAGACGCUCGUGGAGCCCUGACUGCACCCCAGGAACAAUGCUUAGCAAUAGGCGCACACACGCGACGGUUUGCAGGGAGGAAUUGCCACCAGCGAGUUAAAAUCGGGGCUUGAUUUUAGCUGCCGUGUGUCCGGAGGCUGCUGCUGAAGGAGGUUUGGGUUGUGCAGCUGAUGAGACGUGCUGGAGGCCCCUGAGGAUGGAGGAGCGGUGAAUGAGCCUCGUGUGCUGUGGCUUGCGAAGCCAAACGCCGCCUGGGCUGCUGGCUGUGUGGCCCGGUGAGCUCCGAGGAGCAGCCAGGGGGUUCCUUGAGGCUCCUCAGAGCUUUCGUUUGCUUGUUUGUGUCUCCUCUGCUCCACCUCAGACCUUCCAGUUUGUUUUCCUCAGUGCUGACUGCGCUUACUGGUUCCUAGUUUCCUUCAAAUCAUUGGUUCGCAGCACCUAAGAGUGAGCUGCAAGGAGUACUUUGCCCAGCGCUGAAAGUAGUGUAAGGACUACAAAUUUUAAGACCUUAUUUUAACUUUUUUUCUCCCUCUUGUUAGCUAUCGCUCUCCUGAAAUUUCUUAGGACUUGUGCUAGGACUCACAAAGCGAAACUUAGCUCAGUCCUCGGCCAGUAGAAGAUGUUAGCUGCUAGAUUUACACUAGGAAGUGGAAAUGCUUCAAAAUCCAGCUGCUCUCUUACAAG